UAUAACUCAUAUAGGGUUUAAUAAUAAUUAUUAAUUUUUUAUAUUUACCACAUAUAUUUUUAGAAUUCAUAAUAGAUAACCCUAAUUUAUUUUACCUGUAACCUUCGUUGCCUCUCUACCCACUAAUCACCACAACCUACUCCACGAUUAAUCUGUUCUCUGCCGUGCAUCAAGCAUUCGUUGCCGGUUUCAGGCCCUCACCCGGCGUCAGUAUCAUCCUCUUUCUCUUCUCAGCCCAGCACCUCAUUGUCUCAUUCAUUCUCAGUAUCUCUCUUCUCUCUUCGCGUCGUUCGUCUUCAGCCUCAGAGCGGUGGCGUGGGUCUCGGAGAGUCAAUAUCGUCAUCUGCGCCGGGGUGCUCCGUCUCCCCCUUCAUCGCUCCACUUCCAGUGUUCCAAUGGAUCCUCAGCCUCGGCUUAAAUUUUAGGGGCAAAUGAUGAUGAUGAGGCAGAGUUGGAUCUAUAUCAAAGAAUCUUGAAUAUAUAUGGUUGAUUGUGCCUUAGGUAUGGAAAAAGUUGGUGUUGAUGGGAAACACAAGCUUGCAGAUAAAGGUUUUGCUAGUGUCUUCGAAUCACAUUUGAGGGAACUUAAUGCUCCAUUCAUGAGGCUACUCAUAAGGCUGGCUGGUUUUUUACUACAAAUGAAGCAAUCAAGUUAUGGCUGCAGUCUAGGUGUUCAACUAAAAUAGUUGCUGCUUAGAAACUUCAAGGUUUUUUAGGUGUUCUAACAGUGUCUCCCUCACUAUUGAUGGUGUUACUUUAGGGAGUCAUUUGCCAAGUAGUUUUUAUGCAUUUUCCUAUCCCCUCUGCAGAAAUUUUGUACUAGUAGAUUAGAAAAUUAAUACUUUUAAAUAAAUUUUUGGAUUUAUUAGAGAAAA